rnacentral:rRNA from 1 species
GCAACCUGGUUGAUCCUGCCAGUAGUCAUACGCUUGUCUCAAAGAUUAAGCCAUGCAUGUCUAAGUAUAAACGAUUAUACUGUGAAACUGCGUACGGCUCAUUAAACCAGUUAUAGUUUAUUUGAUAUUCCCCUACUACUCGGAUACCCGUAGUAAUUCUAGAGCUAAUACGUGCGUCAAACGACAUAUGUCGU